UACGUAGGGCGCGAGCGUUGUCCGGAGUUACUGGGCGUAAAGGGCUUGUAGGCGGCUGGUCGCGUCUGCCGUGAAAUCCCCUGGCUCAACUGGGGGCGUGCGGUGGGUACGGGCCGGCUUGAGUGCGGUAGGGGAGGCUGGAACUCCUGGUGUAGCGGUGGAAUGCGCAGAUAUCAGGAAGAACACCGGUGGCGAAGGCGGGUCUCUGGGCCGUUACUGACGCUGAGGAGCGAGAGCGUGGGGAGCAAAC
rnacentral:rRNA from 1 species